rnacentral:misc_RNA from 1 species
GCAAACUUGGUCAUUUAGAGGAAGUAAAAGUCGUAACAAGGUCUCCGUUGGUGAACCAGCGGAGGGAUCAUUACCGAGUUUACAACUCCCAAACCCAUGUGAACAUACCUAUCGUUGCUUCGGCGGAUCGCCCCGGGCGCCUUGCGCUCCCGGAACCAGGUGGCCGCCGGGGGACCUCAACUCUUGUUUUCCACAGUGAAUCUCUGAGUCGUUUUUACAAAUAAAUAAAAACUUUCAACAACGGAUCUCUUGGUUCUGGCAUCGAUGAAGAACGCAGC